rnacentral:rRNA from 1 species
UGGUGGGGUAACGGCCUACCAAGGCGAUGAUGGGUAGCUGGUCUGAGAGGACGAUCAGCCACACUGGGACUGAGACACGGCCCAGACUCCUACGGGAGGCAGCAGUUAGGAAUUUUCCGCAAUGGGCGAAAGCCUGACGGAGCAACGCCGCGUGAGUGAUGAAGACCUUCGGGUUGUAAAGCUCUGUCGGAGGGGAAGAACACAAUGACGGUACCCUCCAAGAAAGCCCCGGCUAACUACGUGCCAGCAGCCGCGGUAAUACGUAGGGGGCGAGCGUUAUCCGGAUUUACUGGGCGUAAAGCGCGUUAAGGCGGCCGACAAAGUUGGUGGUGAAAUUUCAGGGCUCAACUCUGAAACUGCCUCCAAUACUGGUCGGCUUGAGUGCGAGAGAGGAAGGUGGAAUUCCCGGUGUAGUAGUGAAAUGCGUAGAUAUCGGGAGGAACACCAGUGGCGAAAGCGGCCUUCUGGCUCGCAACUGACGCUGUAGCGCGAAAGCGUGGGGAGCGAACGGGAUUAGAUACCCCGGUAGUCCACGCCCUAAACGAUGUGCACUAGUGUUGGGCGUAUUGACGCGCUCAGUGCCGCAGCUAACGCAUUAAGUGCACCGCCUGGGGAGUACGGUCGCAGAUUAAA